rnacentral:lncRNA from 1 species
GUGACUCAGACGGGAGUGGGGUUUGUGAGUGGGCUCCAGCCACACACGACUUCGUGCCUGUGACGUUGGCUCCUCCAUCCGCCUCUUUCCUGGAGUGCAGCCUGAGUCACAGCUCGAAACUUCUCCCACCUUCUCCGGGUGGAGGGGGCUUCCCCAGUCUUGGGGUGCGCACCUCAGGCAACGACCCAUCCCUCACUCCCCUGUGCUGGGACUGCAUGGGAAGCUGGACUACACUCCUCAGCCUCCCUUGAAGUUGCAGUGAACUUAUGAUGGUUUGUUCUAACCACCGUAAUAUCAACUGACGUUUAUCUACAAGGAUUUUUAUCAGGGUUGUUUGAAACCAGGGGUCAGCAAAAUUGUUUCGUGACCAGUCAAGUAGUCAAAGAGUCUUAUGAAAGCUGAGGAUAGAAGCUCACUGCCAUUUAAACCACGGGAAGAGGGGAAGAAGAAAAUCAGCAAGGGGUUAGAGAGGUCUGUUUGUGGAAGAGGCCAGGCUCAGCCCUGCCUGGGGCCUCAGUCUCCUGAUGGGGCAAGGACAAAAGGGGAAAGUGUGAACAUGUAAUAUGCCUUUCCUGUGUGGGAGUCCUUACGACAUGGUUUGCAUCAGAGGCUUCAUUCAUUCAUCCCAAAGACACUAAAGGGUACAUGCUGCCAUAUCCAUUGCAGAGAUGAGAAAACAGGCAAAGAGGGUGUGAAGUGGCUUGCCCUUCCACCAACAGCUCAUUUCAGAGCUAGGAGAAAGACAUUGGGGGCAGACAACCUCAAAGUUUUCUUCCAUCCUGAAAGGUUGGUUCAAGGAAAAUGUAGUAGAAUGAAUAAUGCCCUUCCCGCCACGACCACCACCAAAGAUAUGUCCUGGUCCCCAGACCCUGUGAAUAUGUUACCUUAUACGGCGAAAGAGAUUUUGCAGAUGUGAUUCUGUUAAGGAUUUUGAGACGGGGAGAUUAUCUUGUAUUAUCAGGGUGACCCCAGUAUACUCACAAGGAUACUUAAAAGUAAAAGGAAGUAGAAGAGUUCAUCAGAGGAAGAUGUGACUGCAGAAAAAAGGCACAGAGAUGCAUUGCUGCUGCCUUUGAAGAUGGAGGAAGGGGCCACAAGCCAAGGAAUGCAGCCAACCUUUAGAAUCUGGAAACUGAUUUCCCCUAGAGCCUCCAGAAGGAUCACCACAGCCUUCCCAAGGCUUCCGUUUUAGCCCAGUGGGACACAUGUCAGACUUUCAACGUGUCAGAACUGUGAGAUAAUAAAUUUGGGUUAUAUUGAGC